rnacentral:misc_RNA from 1 species
AUCACCAAAGCAUCAGUUUUAGUUCAACAAUGAUUAAAAACGAUGUGUGUGUUAUCGGGCAUUAGCUGGAUUACAGUCCUGUAAAUCCAGUAGUAAAGCUUAGUUGUCCGACCAACGGGCUCAGUAGCAAAUAACGUUUUCUGACAUCGGCGGCCAAGGACCGGCAGUGAAUGUUUGGACUGAGGCGAUUUAGUAAGAAGUUGUAAGAUAGUUCCCAGGAUCAAUGCAGCCCGCAGUGCAGUAUCCAAAACCACCUCGGUCACCGAUGGCGAGCUUGAGGUCACAUCGUACUCUUUCCAACACCACAACAAGUUCUUUAGAUGAUGACAACGUUUCUUUGAGUUCUAGUUUUUCGGGUAGCUUAAGAAGAAGCACCGGUUUACCGAAAAUAUCUACCAGCGACUUUUCAGCUGUACGAGCAGCAGUAGGAAUCUCGCGGAUGAAGCAUGGACGUAAAGUGCGCAAAGCAACAACACAUCUUGAACACUACUCCAAUACACAAUCUGAUGGCAGUAAUCCUCGUGGCAGCAGACGUACAAGUACCAUAUACUCUCUGAGUGAGUUAGCAGUUGCUGGGGCCAAAGUGAAACGAAGAAAACGUAGCACACUUGAAACCUGGGGUAGACGAAGCACUGUCGGAGUAACCAAGUAUUUUGAUAAGCAUCUUCCGUCCGUAGAGCUGUUUAGACGUUGUGUUCGACUUGUACAAAUGUUCGCAUCCCUUUGUCAGUACAAAUACGAAAAGGAAAAUGAAGAUAACGAGGCCACUGCACACACAGUAUUUACAGAGUACAUCAACGAAGACGAUUCCAAAAUCGAUGGCGGACUCGCCUUUGAUGCUUCGUAUUUUAAAGCAAAUAGAAAGAUGCGAGUCUCACAAGAGGUCAAAAACAUUUUGUUAACACCCCCUGAACAAAGAACCGAGCAGCAAUUAGCUAAGAUCCUGUUUUCUUUGCGUUCGAUUCGAUCUUUUGCAGAAUAUCCCCAGAGAAUACAAAACAAGUUAAUAGCUGUUGGAUGGUUCGAAUCCCAUUCAGCCAAGAGAGCCAUACUACGUCAAGGUCAUAUUCCCCAAGCCUUCUACUUUGUCCUAUCUGGGUCAGCUGUGGUAACAGUAAUGGCCAAAAACGAGGCCUUUGCCAGGACAGUGCAUUUUUUACGUCGAGGAGACAGCUUUGGGGAAUUGGCUAUGUUACAUGACACUCGACGUCAGUCAACGGUCAUAUCACGAGAACCAAUCGAACUCUUGGUCAUUUCACGAGAGGACUUUGUUGACAUAUUCAUGUUAGCUGGAGGAAUUAAAAAUCUUAACGACCCUGACCAUAAGAAAUUCAUCAGAGGAAUCGAAUUUCUCAGAGGAUGGCCAAUAGAGUUACUUGGAGAGAAUCCAAAAAAGUGCUUGUUCCAUUUCUUCAGAAGCGGCUCCGUCCUUGUGAAAGACAGCAAUCAUACAGACUGGAUCUAUAUCAUUAAAUGGGGAAGCUGUCGAAUCCUUAAAAAACUCAAGCAAGUAAAGAGCCAGCUCACUGAGCAUAAAGAACGAGUUGUAGGAUUUGAAAAUGUAAAAAGUUUUGUACCUAAAGCUGAAUCUCGUUCAAGACUUGAACGCGUACGAACAAAGCUAUCUGUUGUAACCAAGCUACUGCCCAAGCUGACGCUGCGUUCACUAUCAAUGAUAGCAGAUGAAAAUGAAGUAGAUAAGACAUCUAGUAUCCGGCAUGAUGAAGGUGCAUAUAUUGAACAAGUUGCCGUGGCACAAGGAAUUCUUGCUCGAUUUCGUCAAAAGAGACCUUCUGCAAUACUUGAUGACAUGUCUUUCCCUGGAGAAAUGUCAGAGAACUCACCAUAUUCGUCCACACGUACGUCUCCAGAAUUAAAGGCCCGCAGGGCUUCAAGUCCCGCUAAACAGGCUGUGACGAACCGUAAAAAGUUGAUAGUUAUUGAUGGUUCUGUUAGUAGAAACUCGUCUUUUUCUGCUAAAAAGAGCGCAGGCGUCCAUGUGGAAGAGUCGCAUAAUAAUCGAAAGCUUUCAAGUCCAAAGUUUCAACGUUCAUCGUACGACAAGUCAUCUGAAAGUAGUUUAUCGCAUGCCUCUCAAGAAGAGUCUCCUGGUCCAGCCACAAGUUUCAUGAACCAACGCGCAAGAUCAAGGCUAUCGACAAAAAGUAACGAAGUAAAUAAAAAGGAAAAUGACGAAGAAGAAAAUUUUCCAAGACAGAAAAUAUCUGUUAUCGAUGAAGGUGCAUUAAAACAGAAGCUGAUCGUCACCCAGUAUUCGUUCAAGUGGCUUUACUUUCCAAAGGAGAUGUGUUUGGGGUGUCAUCUAUGCUUUUCGAUGAUCAGCCAAGCCUCAGUCUUGUUAGUAAUGGAGCAGAAUGUAUAAUGAUAUCAAAGAAAUUCUAUUUGUCCCACUGUACUGAUAGUAUGAAACGACGGCUUCUUACUACAGAAACACCGUACCCAGAUGAAGAUGCUCUUCAACGAAGUUUACAAGAUAAGAUCAACUGGGAUGCGUACAAAAAGAAAACUUUACAAGGGGUAGUGAAGAACAUAAAUUUGCGACGGCAAUUUGAAAAUCGUCA